rfam:Triticum aestivum genome assembly, contig: Triticum_aestivum_CS42_TGACv1_scaffold_289223_4AL
GGAGAGCCGGCUAAGUGGUUGAUAGCUCCGUUCUUGAAAAUUGGUAUAGUUCUAAGAACUAUCGAGAGUUCAAAUCCCUCUCUGUCCU